rnacentral:tRNA from 1 species
UAAAAAAUUAUUUAAAAAUAAUAAUACUGAAUUGUCAAAUCAGAGUUGUAUAAACUACAUUUUUU